rnacentral:tRNA from 1 species
GAACCCGUAGCUCAGCCCGGAUAGAGCGUCGGUCUACGAAACCGAAAGUCGCAAGUUCAAAUCUUGCCGGGUUCA